rnacentral:lncRNA from 10 species
UUCCCAAAUGGUCCCCAGCUUCCCCGUUCACUGAAGGCCCUGCAGUCGGGAACAGUCAGGACUUUGCACCCAGUUGUUGUGGGUGUUUGGCCAACCCUUCCUCUUGUGUGAUUCAUGGACCUGCAGCAUUGCGUCACCUGUGAGCUUUUGGAAUUGAAGACUCUCAGGGCUCACCCGGGAGGACCUGCUGGGCCAGAAUCUGCAUUUUAACAAGAUGCCUGGGUGAUCUGCAUACACGUUCAGAUCUGAGAAGUGCUGGAUCUCACUCUGUAGCCCAGGCUGGAGUGCAGUGUUGUGAUCCCGGUUCACUGCAGCCUCUACCUCCUGUGUUCAAGCAAUCCUCCCACCUCAGCCUCCUGAGUAGCUGAGACCACAGAGAACAUGUGCCCAUGUCUGGAGAGUUUUGGUUGUUGCAGCUGGAGGAGGUGGUGCUACUGGCAUCUAAUGGGUAGAGGCCACGGAUGCUGCUAAACAUCCUACAAUGCCCCGGACAACUCCCACUAAGACAAAGUAAUGAUCCAGCCCCAAAUGUCAAUAGUGCUGAAAGUGAGAGACCCUGAUUCCAUCUUAGAGCUUAGAGAUCAUCCAAGCACAUUUGGCCAAAUUGUUUUUGCUACUGUCCCAUGAAAAAAAGACAGACUCAUGACUGAUGGCAACAUCGAUGGGAAUUUUGUUUACCUCUU